CCCUUAGAUGCUCUGGGCCGCACGCGCGCUACACUGGUCGAUGCAACGAGUUUCUUUCCUUGGCCGACAGGCCUGGGCAAUCUUUGAACAUCGAUCGUGAUCGGGAUAGAUUCUUGUAAUUUUUGAUCUUAAACGAGGAAUUCCUAGUAAACGCAAGUCAUCAGCUUGCAUUGAUUACGUCCCUGCCCUUUGUACACACCGCCCGUCGCACCUACCGAUUGAAUGGUCCGGUGAAAUCUCCGGACUGGCGUGAGUCGGAGCAAUCUGACAAACGCCGGAAAGUUGAUUAAACCUUACCAUUUAGAGGAAGGAAAAGUCGUAACA
rnacentral:rRNA from 1 species